rnacentral:lncRNA from 1 species
AAGUGACUUGCCCCAGAUCAUGCAGUUGGCAGAAGCACCAGGAUAUUUUCAUUCCCAAUACACCAAACACUUGGAAAAGUAACAAAAAAAGGGUAACUGAGAGAAGAAAAGGUGGUGAAAAGAGAAAGUGAGAAGUAGAGAAAGUCAUAGUGAGGAAAUAGGUUUAAAAAAAAAAAAGCAAAUAGAGAGUUGCCAACAGUAUUCUCUGUUUCAGAACAUGCUCUUCUUGGAUGCAUGCCACACUGGAUUUUAAACUAUGAGCUUCUGGGAAACCCUAAGCCCUGGAAUGAUGUUGGCAAAACCCCUUGGGUCUCUGGGAUGGCUUUUGUUUCUUCUUAACCCUGAGAAUGGAGUCCAGGCUGGAGAGCAUCGCCUGGCGGGGUGAGGCCAAGACUGCGUUCUGGCUGCAGGAUCCGGUCUGCGUCCCCUGCUCUGCUCUACGCGCCCAUCUGCUAUCUGGACAGAGUGUCGCUCAGCAUCCUCAGGGCAACCCAGCAGACUCGCUUCUUCCUGGCUUUAGCUGGUGCCAACCCUUGCCCCCAGGAAAGCCCUGGGGGACCACUUCCCUUGGAUGUAAUGGUUUCAGGGCCUACAACGGUAGCAAGCACCC